CUGGCGGCGUGCCUAACACAUGCAAGUCGAACGAGAAAGUGGAGCAAUCCAUGAGUAAAGUGGCGACCGGGUGAGUAACACGUGACUAACCUACCUUCAAGUGGGGGAUAACCUCGGGAAACCGGGGCUAAUACCGCAUAACAUCUUUGGGGCGGAAGAACCGAAGAUCAGAGGAGCAAUUCGCUGGAAGAGGGGGUCGCGGCUGAUUAGCUAGUUGGCGGGGUAAUGGCCCACCAAGGCAGAGAUCGGUAGCCGGCCUGAGAGGGCGCACGGCCACACUGGAACUGAAACACGGUCCAGACUCCUACGGGAGGCAGCAGUGGGGAAUUUUGCGCAAUGGGGGAAACCCUGACGCAGCAACGCCGCGUGGAGGAUGAAGUCCCUUGGGACGUAAACUCCUUUCGACCGGGACGAUAAUGACGGUACCGGUGGAAGAAGCCCCGGCUAACUUCGUGCCAGCAGCCGCGGUAAUACGAGGGGGGCAAGCGUUGUUCGGAAUUAUUGGGCGUAAAGGGCGCGUAGGCGGUGCGGUAAGUCACCUGUGAAAUCUCUGGGCUCAACUCAGAGUCUGCAGGCGAAACUGCCGUGCUGGAGUAUGGGAGAGGUGCGUGGAAUUCCCGGUGUAGCGGUGUAAUGCGUAGAUAUCGGGAGGAACACCUGUGGCGAAAGCGGCGCACUGGACCAUAACUGACGCUGAGGCGCGAAAGCUAGGGGAGCAAA
rnacentral:rRNA from 1 species